AUGGGUGAAUUCCUGGUGUAGCGGUGAAAUGCUUAGAGAUCUGGAGGAUUACCGAUGGCGAGGGCAGCCUUUUGUCCUUAUUCUGCCCAGUGAGGUGCGAAAGCAUGGGGACCAACCAGGUUUAGAUACCCUGGUAGUCCAUGCCGUAAACGAGGUGUACUAGCCGUUGGGGCCCUUGAGCCUUUAGUGGCGCAGCUAACGCGUUAAGCAGUCCGCCUGGGGAGUACGGUCGCAAGACUAAAACUCAAAUGAAUUGACGGGGGCCCGCACAAGCGGUGGAGCAUGUGGUUUAAUUCGAUGCAACGCGAAGAACCUUACCUGGUCUUGACAUCCUGAGAACUUUCCAGAGAUGGAUUGGUGCCUUCGGGAACUGUGAUACAGGUGCUGCAUGGCUGUCGUCAGCUCGUGUCGUGAGAUGUUGGGUUAAGUCCCGCAACGAGCGCAACCCUUUUCCUUAUUUGCCAGCACUUCGGGUGGGAACUUUAAGGAUACUGCCAGUGACAAACUGGAGGAAGGCGGGGACGACGUCAAGUCAUCAUGGCCCUUACGGCCAGGGCUACACCCGUGUUCCAAUGGUCGGUCCAAAGGGUUGCUACCCCGCGAGCAGAUGCUAAUCUCAAAAAGCCGUUCCUAGUCCGGAUCGCAGUCUGCAAUUCGAUUCCGUGAAGUCGGAAUCGUUAGUAAUCGCGGAUCAGAAUGCCGCGGUGAAUACGUUCCCGGGCCUUUUACACGCCGCCCGUCCCACCAUGGGAGUUUGCACCACCAGAUUAGGGUGUGCUCAACCUUAAGGAGGCCGCUUACCACACGGUGUGGCAGAUGACUGGGGUGAAGUUUCAUUCAACG
rnacentral:rRNA from 1 species